CGGGUAAUACCUGAUGAGACCACGGUGGCGCAGGCCACAGCGGUCAAAGGGUGGGGACUCCUUCGGGAGCCUACCGGCUUAGGAGCGGCCCAUGUCCUAUCAGCUUGUUGGUGAGGUAAAGGCUCACCAAGGCUAUGAUGGGUACCGGGACUGAGAGGUUGACCCGGCGCAUUGGGACUGAGACACUGCCCAGACUCCUACGGGAGGCUGCAGUAACGAAUAUUCCACAAUGGACGAAAGUCUGAUGGAGCGACGCCGCGUGCAGGAUGAAGCUCCUCGGAGUGUAAACUGCAAUCCAGGGAUCACCAAGCAGAGGGAUCUAAUAUAUCCCCGAGUUGAGGACUCCCAGGGAAGCCACGGCUAACUUCGUGCCAGCAGCCGCGGUAAGACGAAGGUGGCUAGCGUUGUUCGGAAUCACUGGGCUUAAAGGGCACGCAGGCGGCCCGUCAAGCGUCUUGUGAAAUCCCUCGGCUCAACCGAGGAAUUGCGGGGCGAACUGACUGGGCUUGAGGCAGGUAGGGGCGAGUGGAACUCUUGGUGGAGCGGUGGAAUGCGUAGAUAUCAAGAGGAACGCCGGAGGCGAAGGCGACUCGCUGGGCCUGUCCUGACGCUGAGGUGCGAAAGCCAGGGGAGCGAACGGGAUUAGAUACCCCGGUAGUCCUGGCCCUAAACGAUGUCCACUAGGUCGCAGUACUUCUGACAGUAUUGCGGCCGAAACAAAAGCGUUAAGUGGACCGCCUGGGGAGUACGGUCGCAAGGCUAAAACUCAAAGGAAUUGACGGGGGCUCACACAAGCGGUGGAGCAUGUUGCUCAAUUCGAUCAACGCGAAGAACCUUAUCCUGGGCUUGACAUACACGGAUGCCCCUCCUGAAAGGGAACGGGUUACCUUCGGGUGAAACGUGAACAGGUGCUGCAUGGCUGUCGUCAGCUCGUGUCGUGAGAUGUUGGGUUAAGUCCCGUAACGAGCGAAACCCUUGUCGUUAGUUGCCAGCGCGUAAUGGCGGGGACUCUAACGAGACUGCCGGUGUUAAACCGGAGGAAGGUGGGGAUGACGUCAAGUCCUCAUGGCCUUUAUGCCCAGGGCUGCAAACGUGCUGCAAUGGCGUGUACAAACCGACGCAAAACGGCGACGUCGAGCAAAUCGGAAAAAGCACGCCCCAGUUCGGAUCGGAGUCUGCAACUCGACUCCGUGAGGUUGGAAUCGCUAGUAAUCGCGUAUCAGAACGACGCGGUGAAUGUGUUCCUGAGCCUUGUACC
rnacentral:rRNA from 1 species